GCCAUCUUGGGUUGUUUACCCACUACCAGAUUUACUCCUUAGAGUCUGCUAAGAACCAGCAUUUGAGGGCAGUCCUUAAUGCAGUUAUAUACUCAUCUAAGAGUAAUAUAAUCCAUGUCUCUGAUGUGGGACAGAACCAUAAACCUUACUGAAAAUCCAUGAAGUGAUGAUCAACCAAUAGUUGUUGAAUACUUUCUAACCAAUGUGAGCACUUUAUUCUUUCCUGUCUCUUCUUAUGCCAUUCUCUCUCUAGCAUGCUUUCCCAGCUACUCCUGUCUAUUGAAAUCCUACCCAAGAUUCCAAGUUCUGCUAAAAUUCCACUUCCUCUGUUAAGCCUUUUUCAUCCCCUCUCCCUGAAGUAAUAAAGAUUGCAAGUUGUUAUACCUAGAGUUGGACCUUUUGUCAUCCAUCCACUGUAUCCCAGGCCAUCACCAGUCAUCCUGACUUCUUGCCCCUGGACUUCUAUGACUCUGGAGGAGAGAAUGAGACUGAUGACUUUGUACAUCUCUGCCUCACUGAAAUCCAUUCCUGAGCAAGUCAAGACAUCACCCUUCUGAGAAUAUGUAAGUCUCAUGAUGGCAAGGAACUGUUUCUGCCGUGCUUUAUCCUCAGCCUGCCAGAUGACUAGAAUUUAUUAAGCACGAUCCCAAGUCUGGCAGAUUUCUUAUUUAUUUUCCAGUCCAAGUUCUGACAAGAGAAAUAGCUGCAAUUAGGUCCUUUAAUGAUUUCAAAUGUAGCCAUCAUCACAUCCUCUGAAGUGGUAGCUAAAGGAGAUGACCAGAAAAUUGCCAAUAUUUGAGUAAAUGAAAACUUGAUAUAUGAGACAUCAAUCAAUCAACAUACAUCAAUGGAAUCCAUUUGGCCAGUUAAAACAUUAUAUCUUUCAGUGGUUUCCUACUGUGUACUAUAUCGAGUGCUAACUCCUGAACCUGGCAUCUAAGGACCUCUAUCAUGUUGUGCUAUUUCAACACCAACUUCAGAAAAUAUUUUAUUAAACAGCCCCAAGGUAUGAGACAGCUUGGCAUUGUGAAUAAACAGCUAGGCUAAAAAAUCAGGUUUAAGUACCACCUCUGACCCAUACUGGAUAUGUGAUCUUGGGUAAGUUAUUUAACUUUUCAAUGCCCAAAAGAAUUCUCUCAGGCUCUUAGUUUCAGAAUACUCAUGUGAAGAGUGAAUCAAACUCUCUGUCUAUCAAUCAGCAAAUUUUAAGUUAAUCAAAAACUUAGUACCCUUACUUAGUACCUUACCAGUCACUAAGUAUAAGAGUU